GUCAAGUGGAGUAAUAAAAAACAGAAAACAUAAACAUUCAAUUUUCUCCCCAAGUAAUAAACUAAAAAAAAUAUUUUUAGUCUGGAGGAAGUAUUCAUCAUACCUUGAGCUUGAACUCUUGAAGGCCAAAAAAGAUUGUAGGAUUUCUAUGAUUACUUAAAAUUUUAUUCCAAAUUUUGUGUUGUUUUUUAUUCCCCACGCUUUGGGGUAAGAAAAACAUUUGCGGGGCAAUAAAAAACAAUGGUUUCAAAAGCAACUUUACUUCUAAAGAAAAAAAAAUUAACAAUGGAAGUACAAAGAAAUAAUACAAAUAUUAUCAUACAACUUAAGUAUUAUGCAGUCUAUAUUUUCUUAGAAACCUCAACUUUUCCUCUUUUUUCCCCAAAGCAAAAUAUACAUACUUUUAACAGCCUUGUUCAAAAGCUUUUAUUUUCCUUUAUAAUUUAUUAUUUUUACUUCAGUACUUCCUUUUAAACAUAAGCUUACCCGCAAAUAACAUUUAUUAGACUAAAAAUAAAGCCCAAAGUUAAAUAACCUAUACAAAGCACAAGAAAUAACCAGAGCAUUACACUUGAUUUACUUAAAUUAUAAAGGCUGUUGAAAAUCUAAAUGACAUAUUGACUUUAUCUAAACUAAAUUCAGCAACAUAAU